CAGCCGCCGCGGUAAUACGAAGGGUGCAAGCGUUACUCGGAAUUACUGGGCGUAAAGCGUGCGUAGGUGGUUGUUUAAGUCUGCUGUGAAAGCCCUGGGCUCAACCUGGGAAUUGCAGUGGAUACUGGGCGACUAGAGUAAGGUAGAGGAUAGUGGAAUUUCCGGUGUAGCAGUGAAAUGCGUAGAGAUCGGAAGGAACAUCUGUGGCGAAGGCGACUAUCUGGGCCAUUACUGACACUGAGGCACGAAAGCGUGGGGAGCAAACAGGAUUAGAUACCCCCGUAGUCCCUGUCUCUUAUAC
rnacentral:rRNA from 1 species